UCCUUAAUGGCUCAGUGGUAAAGAAUCUGCCUGCUAAUGCAGAAGACACGGGUUCGAUUCCUGGUCCAGGAG
rnacentral:tRNA from 1 species